CGCCCUUAGAGUUUGAUCCUGGCUCAGAACGAACGUUGGCGGCGUGGAUUAGGCAUGCAAGUCGGGGGAAUCCCAGCAAUGGGGGAACCGGCGUAAGGGGCAGUAAGGCAUGGGUACCUACCCUGGGGUUCGGGAUAGCCGUCUGAGAAGGCGGGUAAUACCGGAUGAUCUCGGGAGAGCAAAGAUUCAUCGCCCUGGGAGGGGCCCAUGUGAUAUUAGCUAGUUGGUGAGGUAACGGCUCACCAAGGCGAAGAUGUCUAGCGGGUGUGAGAGCACGACCCGCGCCACUGGCACUGAGACACUGGCCAGACACCUACGGGUGGCUGCAGUCGAGGAUCUUCGGCAAUGGGCGCAAGCCUGACCGAGCGACGCCGCGUGUGCGACGAAGGCCUUCGGGUUGUAAAGCACUGUCGAGGGGGAGAAAAGCCCGCAAGGGUGUGAUCUAUCCCUGGAGGAAGCUCGGGCUAAGUUCGUGCCAGCAGCCGCGGUAAGACGAACCGAGCGAACGUUGUUCGGAAUCACUGGGCUUAAAGGGCGCGUAGGCGGGCUGCCGCGUCCGGGGUGAAAUGCCACGGCUCAACCGUGGAACGGCCUCGGAUACGGGCGGUCUCGAGGGGGGUAGGGGCAUCUGGAACUGUGGGUGGAGCGGUGAAAUGCGUUGAGAUCCACAGGAACUCCGGUGGCGAAGGCGAGGUGCUGGACCCCAUCUGACGCUGAGGCGCGAAAGCCAGGGGAGCAAACGGGAUUAGAUACCCCGGUAGUCCUGGCCCUAAACGAUGGGUACUAGUAGUAGCCGGACAUGGGUUUACUGCCGGAGCUAAAGUGCUAAGUACCCGCCUGGGGAGUAUGGUCGCAAGCUGAACUCAAAGGAUUGACGGGGCUCACAC
rnacentral:rRNA from 1 species